CUUGCAGCUGCAUGCUCAUCAGCAGGCGUAGUUGUUGUAUAUGCGAGAGACUUGAAUUUUUGCAAGUCAGAACCAAGUCUCCCAUGUAGCAGGUUUGAGAUUUCCAUACUUUUUGGUUUCCUAACAUGACUUCUUGUUAGCAUAUCAUCUCAUGUGAUGUUCUGGAUCCUAGCCUCUUUCUGGAUAACUCAUUUGUGUCCUUGCUCUAGAGUUGGUGAAUACACAAUUGAUGGUGCUCCUUUCCUUCACAUUUUUUUUUCUUUGACAGCC
rnacentral:misc_RNA from 1 species